CUACGGGUGGCAGCAGUGAGGAAUAUUGCACAAUGGGGGGAACCCUGAUGCAGCAACGCCGCGUGGAGGAUGACGCAUUUCGGUGUGUAAACUCCUUUUAUAUGUCAAGAAAAUGACGAUAGCAUAUGAAUAAGCACCGGCUAACUCCGUGACCAGCAGCCGCGGUAAUACGGAGGGUGCAAGCGUUACUCGGAAUCACUGGGCGUAAAGGACGCGUAGGCGGGUUGGAAAGUCAGGUGUGAAAUCCUACAGCUUAACUGUAGAACUGCACUUGAAACUUCUAAUCUAGAGUAUGGGAGGGGGAGAUGGAAUUAGUGGUGUAGGGGUAAAAUCCGUAGAUAUCACUAGGAAUACCUAAAGCGAAGGCGAUCUCCUGGAACAUUACUGACGCUAAGGCGUGAAAGCGUGGGGAGCAAACAGGAUUAGAUACCCGAGUAGUC
rnacentral:rRNA from 1 species